rnacentral:misc_RNA from 1 species
GCCGGCGCUUCUUUGCCAAAUCCCUGAAAGGGCUGGUUACACUCCAGUCCCACACCCGACUCCACCUGCGCGAUUUUCUCCUAUUAACAUCGGCUUGAACUCGAUUUUCCUGAGUGGAAACCACACUAUCAAUCUCUCUGACAUCAACACCUUUAUCAACGACUGACGGCACAGGCUCUACACCCCUACGAGAGCGAUCUUGCUGUUCUUCG